CCUACGGGAGGCAGCAGUGAGGAAUAUUGGUCAAUGGGCUUACGCCUGAACCAGCCAAGUCGCGUGAGGGAAGAAUGCCCUAUGGGUUGUAAACCUCUUUUGUCAGGGAGCAAUUGGCGCUACGUGUAGCGUUAUCGAGAGUACCUGAAGAAAAAGCAUCGGCUAACUCCGUGCCAGCAGCCGCGGUAAUACGGAGGAUGCGAGCGUUAUCUGGAUUUAUUGGGUUUAAAGGGUGCGUAGGCGGAAUGCCAAGUCAGCGGUAAAAUCGCGGGGCUCAACCUCGCUCCGCCGUUGAAACUGGCGUGCUUGAGUGGGCGAGAAGUAUGCGGAAUGCGUGGUGUAGCGGUGAAAUGCAUAGAUAUCACGCAGAACUCCGAUUGCGAAGGCAGCAUACCGGCGCCCAACUGACGCUGAAGCACGAAAGCGUGGGUAUCGAACAGGAUUAGAUACCCCUGUAGUC
rnacentral:rRNA from 1 species